AUGAGAAAGAACAAGGAUCAGCUUAAGAGACGGUUGGGGCAGGAGUCCUCCUUCUGGAAAACAGAGAGCAUGAGCUAUGAUUCCUGGGGAAAGGAGCCAAAGCAGAAGAUGCGCCUGCCGCUGGUGGGGCCGUCUUCCCAGAGUCCAAGACCUGAGACAGACAGACGGAUGCAGGCCAGGGCAUCACCAGCACCUGGCAGCAUGUUGCCCAGUGGCCUCCAACCUCGCGAUGACCUGUCUGCACAGCAAAAGGCCACGUACAGCACGACCCCUGCCCUCAGGAAAAGGUAGGCUUCCAGAAGGAGUGCGCGUGUCCCUCCUACAAACAUUACAGGAGCUGCUUGUGGGGGUCACAUGAUCAGUGUGAACUGCAGAUUAAGUAAAGGUGAGUCAAAGAAUGCUAUUACUUUUUGCAAUGGCCCAUUAAUCUCUUAUCAGGAAGGAUUCCUUCCACCAAAGCGUUGGUGGUUUCCUGCCCUAAAACGGUGCAGAUACUUUGCCAAAUCACGUUAUUAUGUACACCUAACGGCCUUGUGAAAACUGGUCCCCACAGAUGUGGAGUCAGUGGGUUUGCAUUAAAUACCUCAGUCACAAGCAUUUUCUCGAAAAAUUAACAUGUGCGAUUAGCG
rnacentral:lncRNA from 1 species